UAGCUUUUUAUUAGACACAAGGUAUUUUUUCUUCUAGAAUCUUCUACAGUAGUAGAGAAUUUUAAACACUAUAUUAACCUUAGCAGCUACAUUUCAGUUAAGUUUGUAUAAUCUUCUUUUUGAGUAUAAGUGUUUUUUUUCUAGGCUUACAUUUAUUUUGCUAUCAUGGGUAACUGAAAGUGUUGUUCUGUAGCAAAUUUUAGCCGUUGGGUAAGUCAUCGGCUAUUUUCGGGCUACCAUUUUGAAUUUUGAGGUUUAAGCCAAACUGACUUGGUUAUAUUUAACCUCUGUUUGUGUUGAUUUAAAGCUGUUUAAAGUAAAUUAUAUUAUUUAAUUAUGCUUCGUAAUUGUUACACGACAAAUUACAAGUAGUGUAAUACAAGACGGAGCUCUACAAAGAUAAAGCCAAAUAACGUAUUUAAAACUUGAAUUUGGUGUGACGUGGUUUUCCACUGCUCCCCCGCGUCAGUAGGUGGCGGUAAAGUUUCGUGCAAAAAGAAAAAACAAAAACGUGAAGGCGGAUCCCAUUGAAAUCCAGGAUGUAGCUGGCUGGCGCUAUCACUUGUUUGUUGGACCAUGGAACAAAACACACACCAAAGCAGUUCAAAAACAUUUAUUUGCCAGUUAUGUGACUUAACCAGUCCGUAUUCUUACUAUGGACAGAAGCCACCAAACACUAGAGCGAUAGUGUUACUGGAGGAGUGUUUUGUGACCAGGGACCCCUUCAGUCCAGACAAGGAAAAGUUUCUGGUCCUCGGAUCAACCUGCAGCCUGUGCAACUCGUGUGUCUGUGUUGGACAGGACUGCAGUCUGUUCUACACCAAGAGGUUCUGCAUGCGGUGUGUGAACAAGCACUUGGACCAGUUCCCUCAUCAGAUCCAGGCAGAGUUGGCCAAGAAGAAGGACAGAUCCAAAGCUGGCGUCUCAUGAUGUUGGUCCAGACCCACGUCAGGUGUCGAGCACAAACAUCUAAAUUACUUUUGCCAUAAAUCACAGGUUUUUUUUUUAAAUCUGAAGCUAUGGACACACUUUACAGGAUUUAAAAUGACACAUUAACAGAGUAGUUUCAGCAGAUUUUUUUUUGACAAAGACUGGGGCUUACUACAGUUAACUACUGCGUCAGAUGAAGGAUCACGACCAAAUACAUCACACGCCCUGAUUGCAUACAGAUUUAGCUAAAAUGAUUAAAACAUUUGACUGACUGCAACUGAGGUCGAGUCCCCUCACACUCUUGGAGACGUUGGUGCUAACCAGGCUGGUGCAGGCUUCACCUUACUGGGAGGAGUGGGUAGAGUCCUCGGCCUUAAGCACAUGAAGAAAACCUGUUGUUGUUGUUUUUAAUGUUAUUACUCUGUGAUUUUAUUACCAAGGGCGGAAAUUAGCGCACAUCCAUUAGGAUAUAAUAAAUUAUUGCUUGUAGCCAGGGUGUUACGGCCCUGCGUUGGCCAGCCAGGUUUUUAUUUGUGUAUCACAGGGUUUUAUAGAAGCAAACAAAGAGCAGGUGUGACCGUUGAUGCCAGAGCCGCUGUUGGAUCGUACACACAGAAAAACACUUUGGCAAUUAUAACCUGCACGUAACAAAAAGAAACAAUUAUGUCAGUAUCGCAACCAAAACCAAAAGUGUCUUUCCGAGGACACAGAGAUCUGACUCCGUGUGCUAAUAAGAUGACAUUGCAUUAUCUCAUUAAGUCCAAUGACUUUUCUCAGAACCUGUUACGUGUUUGUGCAGCUGUGGAAGUUAAAGGAGAUUUAAUUAAACUGCCCUGCCCUGAUUUGUUUCUGGGCUUUGCAAAAAAAAGAUUUUUUUUUUUUUUAUAUGACAGAACACACUUUUAUUACAGUGCAACAGCAUAUGGAGCCAGUAAUAUUUACGACACAUCUAAUCUAACAAACGACACAGGCAUGUGUUGACAGUGAAACAUCACUCCUAUUUAUUUCUUUCGUUUGUUGGUGAAGUGAACUCUUGACAUCUGUAGAGUUUAGGAAAAAAACAAAAACAAUUUUUCUUAAUGUGAAAUCAUAAAAAAACACCAAAAGACUGUUCUGUGUAAGUGACUCUAUUCAAUAAUUAGUGUGUGAGUAAUGCUUGUUUUUACUGUAGUUCCAUCAUCUCACUCAGCCGGGUUGAGUCAAAUGAAACAGUUUUGUCAUAUUAGUAUUCAGCGCCGUCAAAACUCAAAAACAACAUUGUUAUGACUUCGUAGGUGGAAAUUUAUCUGCCCUGUUUAAGGCGUUGCUUCCUGGUGAGAAGUCUCAGUCUUGGCUGAGAAAAACAAAAUGCUAAUGAAACAAAUAAACAUCUGCACAGUCAUCAAGAUUGUACAAUUACUGCGCUGGAUUCACUCACUUGUACUCUCUACCCCAGCAGAGCUGGAAAAAUGAGCCCUGUAUUUCCAACUGUGCAAGGAACCAAAAAAAAAAAAAAA